AUUGAACGCUGGCGGCAGGCUUAACACAUGCAAGUCGAGCGGGGUGAUGGUGCUUGCACUAUCACUUAGCGGCGGACGGGUGAGUAAUGCUUAGGAAUCUGCCUAUUAGUGGGGGACAACAUCUCGAAAGGGAAGCUAAUACCGCAUACGUCCUACGGGAGAAAGCAGGGGAUCACUUGUGACCUUGCGCUAAUAGAUGAGCCUAAGUCGGAUUAGCUAGUUGGUGGGGUAAAGGCCUACCAAGGCGACGAUCUGUAGCGGGUCUGAGAGGAUGAUCCGCCACACUGGGACUGAGACACGGCCCAGACUCCUACGGGAGGCAGCAGUGGGGAAUAUUGGACAAUGGGGGGAACCCUGAUCCAGCCAUGCCGCGUGUGUGAAGAGGGCCUUAUGGUUGUAAAGCACUUUAAGUGAGGAGGAGGCUCUUUUGGUUAAUACCCAAGAUGAGUGGACGUUACUCGCAGAAUAAGCACCGGCUAACUCUGUGCCAGCAGCCGCGGUAA
rnacentral:rRNA from 1 species